CCUAAAAACUUUUUUAUAUGAGGAUUGCCUUCUUACCUUCUCGCCAGUAGCAGCAAACCUCCUUUUCUUUCAUCUCCCUUUAUUGCCCCUCUCUUCUCUUCCUCCUCCUCCUUUUCUUUAUCUUCAGCUAAUUAAUUAAUGAUCAAAACCAUGAUCAGUAUCUUCAAGAAACCUCUCUUUCCUAUCUCUAAAUUCACCGUACUUUUAUUUAUAAUCCUUGCAGCUAGUGCUACUCUUGUGAAUUCAACCAAACAACCAAGAUUUCGAGCCAGCAGCAUGUAUUUUCCACAAAGAAACCGUCCCGUUCAGCCAUCAGGUCCUAAUCCUUGCAGUUUCAUACCGGGAUCAGGCCACUGCAAACCUCCAAAGUGAUGCAUCCAUCAACACAUGGGAUCAUGUUGAUUGUGGAAGUGGAAAUUAAGAGCACUUAUGGGUGCUGGAGAGUGUGCCAAGGAGAGUUGAUUUAAUUUGUCCUUUCAUAUGCAAAAUAAUGACCAUUUCCCUAAUAUCUUGUUGGUUUUGGGAUUAGUUUGGACUGUUAUUUGAAUUUUGAAAUGUUGGAUCCUCACUACUUACGUUGAAGGAAUUAUUAAUUUUUAAAUUAAAAAAUGGCUAUGAUUUAAUUUACCAUAUACUAUAUAUUGUUUACUUGAAGCCAGAAUAAUUUUCUAUAACUUUAUCAGGUGUAGUUUUCUUCACUUAGACUCUGUAUCCUAUAAGGAAAUUAAGAGCUGGAGAUGUUUCUUUCUUUCAUCUUUGAUUCUCUUACUGAAUUCACCCUUUCUUUUCUUCGAUAAAA